GAAUAUUGGGCAAUGGACGAGAGUCUGACCCAGCCAUGCCGCGUGCAGGAAGACGGCGUUCUGCGUUGUAAACUGCUUUUAUCUGGGAAGAAAAGGCCCCUGCGGGGGACAUUGCCGGUACCAGAUGAAUAACCCCCGGCUACCUCCGUGCCAGCAGCCGCGGUAAUACGGAGGGUGCCAGCGUUGUCCGGAUUUAUUGGGUUUAAAGGGUGCGUAGGCGGCUAUUUAAGUCAGUGGUGAAAGACCCCGGCUCAACCGGGGCAGUGCCAUUGAUACUGGACAGCUUGAGUAUUGGAGGGGUACAUGGAAUUGACGGUGUAGCGGUGAAAUGCAUAGAUACCGUCAGGAACACCGAUAGCGAAGGCAUUGUACUGGACAAUAACUGACGCUGAUGCACGAAAGCAUGGGUAGCGAACAGG
rnacentral:rRNA from 1 species